AUUGAACGCUGGCGGCAUGCCUUACACAUGCAAGUCGAACGGCAGCGGGGACUUCGGUCCGCCGGCGAGUGGCGAACGGGUGAGUAAUGUAUCGGAACGUACCUUUCAGUGGGGGAUAACGUAGCGAAAGUUACGCUAAUACCGCAUAUUCUCUGAGGAGGAAAGCAGGGGACCUUCGGGCCUUAUGCUGAUGGAGCGGCCGAUAUCAGAUUAGCUAGUUGGUGAGGUAAAGGCUCACCAAGGCGACGAUCUGUAGCGGGUCUGAGAGGAUGAUCCGCCACACUGGGACGGAGAAACGGCCCAGACUCCUACGGGAGGCAGCAGUGGGGAAUUUUGGACAAUGGGCGCAAGCCUGAUCCAGCCAGGCCGCGUGAGUGAAGAAGGCCUUCGGGUUGUAAAGCUCUUUCGGACGGGAAGAAAUUGGUGGGGCUAAUAUCCCCAUCGGAUGACGGUACCGUAAUAAGAAGCACCGGCUAACUACGUGCCAGCAGCCGCCGUAAUAC
rnacentral:rRNA from 1 species